rnacentral:rRNA from 1 species
UACAGAGGGUGCAAGCGUUGCUCGGAUUUACUGGGCGUAAAGCGUACGCAGACGGCUUGGUAGGUCGGAUGUGAAAGCCCCGGGCUCAACCCGGGAAUUGCAUCCGAAACCACCUCGCUCGAGUGUGGGAGAGGGAAGCGGAAUUCCUGGUGUAGAGGUGAAAUUCGUAGAUAUCAGGAGGAACACCGGUGGCGAAGGCGGGUCUCUGGGCAACAACUGACGCUGAGGAGCGAAAGCGUGGGGAGCGAACAGG